UACGUAGGUCCCGAGCGUUGUCCGGAUUUAUUGGGCGUAAAGCGAGCGCAGGUGGUUUAUUAAGUCUGGUGUAAAAGGCAGUGGCUCAACCAUUGUAUGCAUUGGAAACUGGCAGACUUGAGUGCAGGAGAGGAGAGCGGAAUUCCAUGUGUAGCGGUGAAAUGCGUAGAUAUAUGGAGGAACACCGGUGGCGAAAGCGGCUCUCUGGCCUGUAACUGACACUGAGGCUCGAAAGCGUGGGGAGCAAACAGG
rnacentral:rRNA from 1 species